UACAGAGGUCUCAAGCGUUGUUCGGAUUCAUUGGGCGUAAAGGGUGCGUAGGUGGCGGGGUAAGUCAGGUGUGAAAUCUCGGAGCUCAACUCCGAAACUGCACUUAAUACUGCCUUGCUCGAGUACUGGAGAGGAGAUUGGAAUUUACGGUGUAGCAGUGAAAUGCGUAGAUAUCGUAAGGAAGACCAGUGGCGAAGGCGAAUCUCUGGACAGUUACUGACACUGAGGCACGAAGGCCAGGGGAGCAAACAGG
rnacentral:rRNA from 1 species